rfam:Wickerhamomyces anomalus NRRL Y-366-8 unplaced genomic scaffold WICANscaffold_5, whole genome shotgun sequence.
GGUUGCGUAGUGUAGAGGUUAUCACCAUGGAUUCUGAUUUUUAAUUGAUCUGGACAUUCCAUAAACCCCGGUUCGAAUCCGGGCGCGACCG